rnacentral:rRNA from 1 species
CACGUAGGGCGCAAGCGUUGUCCGGAAUUAUUGGGCGUAAAGCGCGCGCAGGUGGUUUCUUAAGUCUGAUGUGAAAGCCCACGGCUCAACCGUGGAGGGUCAUUGGAAACUGGGGAACUUGAGUGCAGAAGAGGAAAGUGGAAUUCCAAGUGUAGCGGUGAAAUGCGUAGAGAUUUGGAGGAACACCAGUGGCGAAGGCGACUUUCUGGUCUGUAACUGACACUGAGGCGCGAAAGCGUGGGGAGCGAACAGG